CCUACGGGAGGCAGCAGUGAGGAAUAUUGGUCAAUGGACGAGAGUCUGAACCAGCCAAGUAGCGUGAAGGAUGACUGCCCUAUGGGUUGUAAACUUCUUUUAUAUGGGAAUAAAACGUUCCACGUGUGGGAUUUUGUAUGUACCAUAUGAAUAAGGAUCGGCUAACUCCGUGCCAGCAGCCGCGGUAAUACGGAGGAGCCGAGCGUUAUCCGGAUUUAUUGGGUUUAAAGGGAGCGUAGGUGGAUUGUUAAGUCAGUUGUGAAAGUUUGCGGCUCAACCGUAAAAUUGCAGUUGAAACUGGCAGUCUUGAGUACAGUAGAGGUGGGCGGAAUUCGUGGUGUAGCGGUGAAAUGCUUAGAUAUCACGAAGAACUCCGAUUGCGAAGGCAGUUCACUGGACUGCAACUGACACUGAGGCUCGAAAAUGUGGGUAUCAAACAGGAUUAGAUACCCCAGUAGUC
rnacentral:rRNA from 1 species